CUGUGAAGGUGAGCGUAAAGUCGUAUAGAAAAAACAGAGACAUAGAACAAGCAUAAAGAGGAGAGUGUGAUAGAGGGUGAAAGCCUCAAAUGAAGCUCAGAAAAUGGCACUAAUGGCUUCUUCCAGAACGAAGCUCUCUAGGCUUCUGACCAUAUUUACCGAGAAAGCACAGAAUUUGAAAUCUGGGUCUUGCUUCCAUGGCGUUAGCGGGAGGUUUGGGGCCAACCCAAAUGCAGGCUUGCAAGGGGCAUUGUUCUAUUCGUCCUCUGCUCUGGCCUCUAAGGAGUCUGAGGUAAUUGGGUCCAGGCGCAUGGGAUGGGAAAUUCUGGGUGUGAAAGAUUAUGAGGAUUAUCGGAGGUCCUUGUAUGGUGAAAUCACUCACAAGGCUUUGCUGGUUGAUGCUGUUGGCACUCUUGUUGUUCCCUCUCAGCCCAUGGCUCAGAUAUAUAGGCAGAUUGGGGAGAAAUAUGGGGUGGAGUAUUCAGAGGCUGAGAUUUUGAACAGAUACAGAAGGGCUUAUGAGCAGCCUUGGGGUAGAUCCCGUCUCAGAUAUGUAAAUGAUGGGAGACCCUUCUGGCAAUAUAUAGUCAGUUCUUCAACUGGUUGUUCAGAUUCUCAGUACUUUGAAGAACUUUAUAACUACUAUACCACUGACAAGGCUUGGCACCUCUGUGAUCCUGAAGCUGAGCAUGUAUUUAAAGCACUAAGAAAAGCAGGUGUAAAACUGGCUGUUGUAUCAAAUUUUGACACCAGAUUAAGACCUCUGUUGCGGGCUUUAAAUUGUGACCAUUGGUUUGAUGCUGUUGCGGUCUCAGCUGAAGUUGCAGCAGAAAAACCAAAUCCAACGAUAUUUCUAAAAGCUUGUGACUUAGUGGGGGUAAAACCGGAGGAUGCUGUGCAUGUGGGUGAUGAUCGAAGGAAUGAUAUAUGGGGUGCCAGAGAUGCGGGUUGUGAUGCUUGGCUUUGGGGAAGUGAUGUUCACUCCUUUAAGGAGAUCUCUGCGAUGCUGUGCACACUGAAGCAAAAGUUGAUCUGGAUUCAACCUUAACAAAGAUCUAUUGUGUUGCACAUCUCCCUAUCUCUCAGCCUUUAUCGUUAUACAAGAAAGAAAUAAAGGACAGAGGGAUAGAGAUUAUAUCAAUUUUGUGGGAAGAGGGAAUGGGCUUAAAAGUCUCCAUGAAAAACUGAACAAUCAAAGGCCGUUUGAGUUUGUGAAAAUAUGCUUUUAACUAAAACUGGAAACUGGUUUAUAGAUAAGGCAUCUAAGUAGAGUUGAGAGACCAAGUGUGCGUAACUGCAAGAUCCAUAAUCUGAGAGAGUGGUUGCUCAGAGCAUCGGGGUUCAGGUUUGAAAGAUUAUAGAUAAUGUUAGAAGCAACAAGUUGAAGGCUGCUAAUAGAUGUACAUACACUUUUUAGUAUAAUGUAAGAGUUUGAUGUAUAAAUUCUGCUUUCUUAUGAGGCAAGAACACUUUAUGUGAAGAGAUCUGUCGACAUACCAUUAAAUGCUGGAGAAGGCAUCUGUUUUGUUGCCCAUAAAGCACCUUUAAAUUGUUGCCUCAAUUUUACCAAAAAACAAAUGAAGUGUUGCUUCGCUUAAA